GUUAAAGGUACCCGUACCGCAAACCGACACAGGUGGGUGAGGAGAGUAUCCUAAGGCUAGCGAGAGAACUGUUGUUAAGGAACUCGGCAAAAUGACCCCGUAACUUAGGGAUAAGGGGUGCCACCAUCAGGUGGCCGCAGAGAAUAGGCCCAAGCGACUGUUUACCAAAAACAUAGGUUUCUGCUAAGUCGCAAGACGAUGUAUAGGAGCUGACGCCUGCCCGGUGCUGGAAGGUUAAGGGGAUCUGUUAGAGCAAUCGAAGCAGUGAACUUAAGCCCCAGUAAACGGCGGCCGUAACUAUAACGGUCCUAAGGUAGCGAAAUUCCUUGUCGGGUAAGUUCCGACCCGCACGAAAGGCGUAACGAUUUGGGCACUGUCUCAACAACAGACUCGGUGAAAUUGUAAUUCCGGUGAAGAUGCCGGAUACCUGCGACAGGACGGAAAGACCCCAUGGAGCUUUACUGUAGCUUGACAUUGGGUCUUGGUACUACAUGUACAGGAUAGGUGGGAGGCUUUGAAACCAGGACGCCAGUUUUGGCGGAGCCAUCCUUGGGAUACCACCCUUGUAGUACUGGGACUCUAACCAUAGGCCAUGAAUCUGGUCUUGGGACACUGUCAGGUGGGCAGUUUGACUGGGGCGGUCGCCUCCCAAAAGGUAACGGAGGCGCUCAAAGGUUCUCUCAGUACGGUCGGAAAUCGUACGUAGAGUGUAAAGGCAAAAGAGAGCUUGAUUGCAAGACAUACAGGUCGAGCAAGGAUGAAAAUCGGACUUAGUGAUCCGGUGGUUCUGCGUGGAAGGGCCAUCGCUCAACGGAUAAAAGCUACCCUGGGGAUAACAGGCUUAUCUCCCCC
rnacentral:rRNA from 1 species